UUCUAACCGUAAACUAUGCCAACUAGCGAUCCGUCGGUGUUAAAUAUUGACUCGACGGGCAGCUUCCGGGAAACCAAAGUUUAUAGGUUCCGGGGGAAGUAUGGUUGCAAAGCUUAAACUUAAAGGAAUUGACGGAAGGGCACCACCAGGAGUGGAGCCUGCGGCUUAAUUUGACUCAACACGGGGAAACUCACCCGGCCAGGACACAAUAAGGAUUGACAGAUUGAUAGCUCUUUCUUGAUUUUGUGGGUGGUGGUGCAUGGCCGUUCUUAGUUGGUGGAGCGAUUUGUCUGGUUAAUUCCGAUAACGAACGAGACUCUAGCCUAUUAAAUAGACGAUAUAUUUUAUUCGUAUAUCGAGCUUCUUAGAGGGACGAGCAGCUUCUAGCUGCACGAGAUUGAGCAAUAACAGGUCUGUGAUGCCCUUAGAUGUCCGGGGCUGCACGCGCGCUACAAUGAAAAUAGCAGCGCGUUUCGAAAACCUUUUCUGGAAAGAAUUGGUAAACGCGAAAUAUUUUCGUGAUAGGGAUAGGGGAUUGCAAUUAUUGCCCUUGAACGAGGAAUUCCCAGUAAAUUCGAGUCAUCAGCUCGAGUUG
rnacentral:rRNA from 1 species